CUUCCGUAGGGGGACCUGCGGAGGGAUCAUUACACAAAUAUGAAGGCGGGCUGGAACCUCUCGGGGUUACAGCCUUGCUGAAUUAUUCACCCUUGUCUUUUGCGUACUUCUUGUUUCCUUGGUGGGUUCGCCCACCACUAGGACAAACAUAAACCUUUUGUAAUUGCAAUCAGCGUCAGUAACAAAUUAAUAAUUACAACUUUCAACAACGGAUCUCUUGGUUCUGGCAUCGAUGAAGAACGCAGCGAAAUGCGAUAAGUAGUGUGAAUUGCAGAAUUCAGUGAAUCAUCGAAUCUUUGAACGCACAUUGCGCCCUUUGGUAUUCCAAAGGGCAUGCCUGUUCGAGCGUCAUUUGUACCCUCAAGCUUUGCUUGGUGUUGGGCGUCUUGUCUCUAGCUUUGCUGGAGACUCGCCUUAAAGUAAUUGGCAGCCGGCCUACUGGUUUCGGAGCGCAGCACAAGUCGCACUCUCUAUCAGCAAAGGUCUAGCAUCCAUUAAGCCUUUUUUUCAACUUUGACCUCGGAUCAGGUAGAAUGCCCCCA
rnacentral:rRNA from 1 species